AUUGAACGCUGGCGGCAGGCCUAACACAUGAAAGUCGAGCGAGAGGCGGACGGGGGAGAAAAGUAUGGGGACUGACCGCAAGAGGGGGAUAACAACAGGAAAAGGUAGCUAAAACCGCAUACGAUCGGAGAACCCAAAGUGGAUUAGCUAGUAGGUGAGGUAAUGGCUCACCUAGGCGACGAUCCCUAGCUGGUCUGAGAGGAUGAUCAGCCACACUUGUACUGAGACACGGCCCAGACUCCUACGGAGGCAGCAGUGGGGAAUAUUGCACAAUGGGCGCAAGCCUGAUGCAGCCAUGCCGCGUGUAUGAAGAAGGCCCUAGGGUUGUAAAGUACUUUCAGUCGGGAGGCGUUACCGACAGAAUAAGCACCGGCUAACUCCGUGCCAGCCGCCGCGGUAAUUC
rnacentral:rRNA from 1 species